GGGAGUUGUGGUGUAAGCAAUGAAGAAGGUUUGGGCCUAGCCCAAGCUCCAAGAUAAUCCAAAUGAAUCCGGUCACCAAAUUACCAUGGCCAUGUCAUUAGAAAUAAGCUCCCAGGUUAACAACGCUCAACACACAAUCAUACUCAAUAAAUUCAAAUCCACAUUUUCCAGUAUUCAACCAUCAUCAAGAACGCGACUUCGAAAAUGCGAAAACUCGAGCUAAAACUGAAAUGUAAACUCACCUGCGGCGUCUGUUCGAUCCAGCGUGAACCUCAACCAACUUCUCUGAUCCGUUCCGACGUCGGUGAUGCGUUGAGUGAAUGACAACGAUGAAACGCGCACUGGUAUAUCUUGAGGUUUUUGAUGCAAGAACUUGGAGUUGCAAUUGCUUUUGAAUGGGCAUUGGCUAGACUAUGGUUUUGAAGCUGUUUUGAAGCUAUCAUGUUCAUUAGGAUUGUUUUGGACUGUAAAUGUUAUGUAGAACAUUUGUAAUGUGAUUUUGGAAGUGUAUGGUUCUGCAUUGGCCAUCAAUUUAAAUGUAUGUAUGUGAUUGGAAUUUUGAAUGAAUAUAUGAUGGUUUAUGUAUGGAAUUUAUGUUUGGAGAUUGACUUAA